rnacentral:rRNA from 1 species
UACGAAGGGGGCUAGCGUUGCUCGGAAUCACUGGGCGUAAAGCGCACGUAGGCGGCUUUUUAAGUCAGGGGUGAAAUCCUGGAGCUCAACUCCAGAACUGCCUUUGAUACUGAGGAUCUUGAGUCCGGGAGAGGUGAGUGGAACUGCGAGUGUAGAGGUGAAAUUCGUAGAUAUUCGCAAGAACACCAGUGGCGAAGGCGGCUCACUGGCCCGGUACUGACGCUGAGGCACGAAAGCGUGGGGAGCAAACAGGG